UCGAACGAGAUCUUUCGGGAUUUAGUGGCGGAGGGGUGAGUAACGCGUGAGAAUCUAGCUCUAGGUCGGGGACAACCGCUGGAAACGGUGGCUAAUACCGGAUGUGCCGCAAGGUGAAAGAUUUAUUGCCUAUAGAUGAGCUCGCGUCUGAUUAGCUAGUAGGUGUGGUAAGAGCGCACCUAGGCGACGAUCAGUAGCUGGUCUGAAAGGAUGAUCAGCCACACUGGGACUGAGACACGGCCCACACUCCUACGGGAGGCAGCAGUGGGGAAUUUUCCGCAAUGGGCGAAAGCCUGACGGAGCAAUACCGCGUGAGGGAGGAAGGCUCUUGGGUUGUAAACCUCUUUUCUCAAGGAAGAACACAAUGACGGUACUUGAGGAAUAAGCAUCGGCUAACUCCGUGCCAGCAGCCGCGGUAAUACGGAGGAUGCAAGCGUUAUCCGGAAUGAUUGGGCGUAAAGCGUCCGCAGGUGGCUAUGUAAGUCUGCUGUUAAAGAGUGAGGCUCAACCUCAUAAAAGCAGUGGAAACUACAUGGCUAGAGUGCGUUCGGGGCAGAGGGAAUUCCUGGUGUAGCGGUGAAAUGCGUAGAGAUCAGGAAGAACACCGGUGGCGAAAGCGCUCUGCUAGGCCGCAACUGACACUGAGGGACGAAAGCUAGGGGAGCGAAUGGGAUUAGAUACCCCAGUAGUCCUAGCCGUAAACGAUGGAUACUAGGCGUGGCUUGUAUCGACCCGAGCCGUGCCGUAGCUAACGCGUUAAGUAUCCCGCCUGGGGAGUACGCACGCAAGUGUGAAACUCAAAGGAAUUGACGGGGGCCCGCACAAGCGGUGGAGUAUGUGGUUUAAUUCGAUGCAACGCGAAGAACCUUACCAAGACUUGACAUGUCGCGAAUCUCCUUGAAAGGGGAGAGUGCCUUCGGGAGCGCGAACACAUGUGGUGCAUGGCUGUCGUCAGCUCGUGUCGUGAGAUGUUGGGUUAAGUCCCGCAACGAGCGCAACCCUCGUUUUUAGUUGCCAGCAUUAAGUUGGGCACUCUAGAGAGACUGCCGGUGACAAACCGGAGGAAGGUGGGGAUGACGUCAAGUCAGCAUGCCCCUUACGUCUUGGGCUACACACGUACUACAAUGCUACGGACAAAGGGCAGCAAGCUAGCGAUAGCAAGCAAAUCUCAUAAACCGUAGCUCACUUCAGAUCGAAGGCUGCAACUCGCCUUCGUGAAGGAGGAAUCGCUAGUAAUUGCAGGUCAGCAUACUGCAGUGAAUUCGUUCCCGGGCCUUGUACACACCGCCCGUCACACCAUGGAAGCUGGUAGUGCCCGAAGUCAUUACUCCAAC
rnacentral:rRNA from 1 species